rnacentral:rRNA from 1 species
UACGUAGGGGGCAAGCGUUGUCCGGAUUUAUUGGGCGUAAAGAGCGUGUAGGCGGUUAGGUAGGUCCGUUGUGAAAACUCGAGCUCAACCUCGAGACGCCGAUGGAAACCCCCUAACUAGAGUCCGGAAGAGGAGAGUGGAAUUCCUGGUGUAGCGGUGAAAUGCGUAGAUAUUGGGAGGAACACCAGUGGCGAAGGCGGCUCACUGGACCGGUACUGACGCUGAUGCGCGAAAGCGUGGGGAGCAAACGGG